rnacentral:rRNA from 1 species
CACGUAGGGCGCAAGCGUUGUCCGGAAUUAUUGGGCGUAAAGAGCUCGUAGGCGGCUUGUCACGUCGGGUGUGAAAGCCCGGGGCUUAACCCCGGGUCUGCAUUCGAUACGGGCUAGCUAGAGUGUGGUAGGGGAGAUCGGAAUUCCUGGUGUAGCGGUGAAAUGCGCAGAUAUCAGGAGGAACACCGGUGGCGAAGGCGGGUCUCUGGGCCGAUACUGACGCUGAGGAGCGAAAGCGUGGGGAGCGAACAGG